GACGAACGCUGGCGGCGUGCUUAACACAUGCAAGUCGAACGGAAAGGCCCUGCUUUUGUGGGGUGCUCGAGUGGCGAACGGGUGAGUAACACGCGAGUAACCUGCCCUUGACUUUGGGAUAACUUCAGGAAACUGGGGCGCAUAUCGGAUAGGAGAUCCUGCUGCAUGGUGGGGGUUGGAAAGUUUCGGCGGUUGGGGAUGGACUCGCGGGUUAUCAGCUUGUUGGUGAAGUAGUGGCGUCCCAAGGUUUUGACGGGUAGGCGGCCUGAGAGGGUGGCCGGCCACAUUGGGACUAAGAUACGGCCCAGACUCCUACGGGAGGCAGCAGUGGAGAGUAUGACGGAAUAAGCGGAAGCCUGAUGCAGCAGCGCCGCGUGCGGAAUAACGGCCUUCGGGUUAUAAACCGCUUUCGCCUGUGACGAAGCGUGAGUGACGGUAAUGAGUCAAGAAGCACCGGCUAACUACGUG
rnacentral:rRNA from 1 species